rnacentral:SRP_RNA from 1 species
CGGCGGUCCCCCCGCAAUGAUAGGUAGUGAACCCCGCCAGGCCCGGAAGGGAGCAACGGUAGUUACUGAUUCGUGUGCCGGGGUGUGGCUGUCGGGU